AAGGGAUAUGAGCCCUCACCCUCUCAAGAGCUCCACACCCUGCCUCAAACCCUCUCUGGUAUUGGCAGCCUGCAGGGAGGAAAGUGAAGGAGGUCAGGAGUGAAAGGUUUUUUACCCAAGCAGUUAAGUGAUGGAUUUCUGCUGGCCUCUGACUCCACGCUGGUUCUGCAUUCACACCCUUGUUUGCCAGUACCAGAACUGAAGGUAACUUGUCACAUCUGAUGUUGAUGGGUGUGGAUGUACCAAUUGCCCUGUGCCAAGCUUUGUUGUGCUUCUGUAAUUUUCAAAGGAUGCUAGCCUUGAAUCUUGGGAUUUAGCUCUCUUCUGGGACCAAAUACGAAUAACUUCUGAAA